GCCUGACUUGGGAUCAACAAACAGAACCUGCUGCAGAGGGCCUAGGCCUGGGAGCUGUCAGAUGUUGGCUGAGGGACUCAGCAAGAGUCUGUGUGAAGGACAGCCCAGUUGCAAUUCUUCUGUCCUGCCUGUCACACCUCCUCUGCAGUGCUGCCGCUUCUCUGCAUGUCUGAACAUGCAGCUAUCAGGAUCCUAAGAAGCCACGUCAUCCCAUUCUUGGAGCCGUCUCCAAAUAUAUAUUUCAUGACAUUUGGGGGACACAGGUGGGAGAGUGUACAUGCAUUCACUGGGGAAGUUUUUCCUAAAAUCUUCCUUUUUUUUGAAGGCAGCCUUCUUCUGAAAUGAAAGCCUACUUCUUAAAGUCUUUGCCUUGCCCCAGCUUUUCAUUGUCACUUCCCUAAUGUUUCAAGCCCUUCUGGGUCUCUGAGGCUUCUCUCCCACUUUCUCCUUCCUAGAACGUGCUUCACCAAGCUUGGCCCAUCAGCCGUCAGCUCAUACCUGCAGAGAUGGUCAGAUUCAUGCUUAAGAACAGCAUGUUGUUUUCACUUCCAAUGCCGCAGAGGUAGCAUCCGAUGUCAUCCGGGGACAGUUGGGACAGCCUCACCACAAACAAGCCUCUCUGUGGAAAGUCUGUGAGGGCCACACGGUCACGAUAGCGAUGAUGAGGAAACUAAGAGACCGAGAUGGAAAUAAUUUGUCCAAGAUAUCAGAGAUAAGCAGGUGGUGGAACCGGAGUGUGAAUACAGUCAGUCUCAAUCUAGGAAAUAUGCUCUUAACAAUCAGGUGACAUAUGUAUGUGGAGAGAGUCAUUCAACCCAAAGGUCCUACAAGCAAUGGUGGUAGGUGAAAGAGCAUAAAACCUGUACCCAGCUGAAGAGUGAAAAAUCAGCUCAGAAUGAAGAUAUAAAGAGCAGCCCUGCUGUUAAUCAAGCUGGAAGGACAGACACAGAUAAAGCCAGCUGCAACAUUAACAGAAAACAUUGUUUCUCCUAAAGUCACGCA
rnacentral:lncRNA from 1 species